rnacentral:rRNA from 1 species
GUGGGGAAUUUUGGACAAUGGGCGCAAGCCUGAUCCAGCAAUGCCGCGUGCAGGAAGAAGGCCUUCGGGUUGUAAACUGCUUUUGUACGGAACGAAACGGUCCGGGUUAAUACCCUGGGCUAAUGACGGUACCGUAAGAAUAAGCACCGGCUAACUACGUGCCAGCAGCCGCGGUAAUACGUAGGGUGCAAGCGUUAAUCGGAAUUACUGGGCGUAAAGCGUGCGCAGGCGGUUUUGUAAGACAGGCAUGAAAUCCCCGGGCUCAACCUGGGAAUUGCGCUUGUGACUGCAAGGCUGGAGUGCGGCAGAGGGGGAUGGAAUUCCGCGUGUAGCAGUGAAAUGCGUAGAUAUGCGGAGGAACACCGAUGGCGAAGGCAAUCCCCUGGGCCUGCACUGACGCUCAUGCACGAAAGCGUGGGGAGCAAACAGGAUUAGAAACCCGGGUAGUCC